UUACGGCCAUAUCACAUUGAAACACCUCCUCUCGUGUCAUCACCGAAGUUAAGCUACGUAGAGUCUGUUCAGUACUUAGAUGAGUAACCGCUUGGGAAUAGUAGGUGCUGUAAG